CCGAAUAAUCCUUCGGACCUCAUGGUCCGAUGUUGAAAGGCGGCUUCKGCUGUCACUACAGGAUGGGCCCGCGGCGCAUUAGCUAGUUGGUGAGGUAACGGCUCACCAAGGCCACGAUGCGUAGCCGACCUGAGAGGGUGAUCGGCCACACUGGGACUUAGACACGGCCCAGACUCCUACGGGAGGCAGCAGUAGGGAAUCUUCCACAAUGGACGAAAGUCUGAUGGAGCAACGCCGCGUGAGUGAAGAAGGUUCUCGGAUCGUAAAACUCUGUUGUGAGGGAAGAACAAGUACCGGAGUAACUGCCGGUACCUUGACGGUACCUCAUUAGAAAGCCACGGCUAACUACGUGCCAGCAGCCGCGGUAAUACGUAGGUGGCAAGCGUUGUCCGGAAUCAUUGGGCGUAAAGCGCGCGCAGGCGGUCCCUUAAGUCUGAUGUGAAAGCCCACGGCUCAACCGUGGAGGGUCAUUGGAAACUGGGGGACUUGAGUGCAGAAGAGGAAAGCGGAAUUCCAAGUGUAGCGGUGAAAUGCGUAGAGAUUUGGAGGAACACCAGUGGCGAAGGCGGCUUUCUGGUCUGUAACUGACGCUGAGGCGCGAAAGCGUGGGGAGCAAACAGGAUUAGAUACCCUGGUAGUCCACGCCGUAAACGAUGAGUGCUAAGUGUUAGGGGGUUCCGCCCCUUAGUGCUGCAGCUAACGCAUUAGCACUCC
rnacentral:rRNA from 1 species